rnacentral:lncRNA from 1 species
UUUUAAUGAACAGUACAGGGCCAUAUUUGCCUCCGUCUCCAACCGAGGGCCAGAGGGCCAAAGGGCUCGUUUUAGCCCUGUCACAAAAAACCGUCUCCAACCGAGGGCCAAAGGGCCAUAGGGCCAAACAUAAUUUAUUAUUUAAAAACUACAAUUUAAAUUCAAAUCUAACGGCUAGGUGACGUCAACAUGAUGUCAGCUAGCCGUUGGUAGCUGACAUCAUGCUGACGUCAACUAGCCGUUGGAUUUGAAUUUUUUUUGCUAUAAAUAGGGUGGAUAUUGGGCUAUAAUUCACACAACUUUAAAUUCAAUCUAUUUCAAUUCAAUCUCUUGCAAUUCAAUCUCUUUCAAUUCAAGUUUGCAAUGAAUUCCAACUUUGGAUCUUCAUCCAAUUCCAAUUGGGGGUCCUCAUCCAAUUCCAAAUUGGAAGCAAAAUGGGCGCAAAUGAGAUGAGAAGAUGAGGAGUCAGAUGAAGAAGUUCAAGUAAGGCGCAACACACAAACAUGGCAGCAGCCAUGGCUGUGGCCAUGGUGUGUCAGCCAACUGAGGAACAACCUCAAUGGGGUGGCUCUGUUGCUGGUCGCUCUUACAAACCAUGAAACAGAGCGAUGGCGCAUGCCAAUCUGAUGAACAACUACUUCAACCCCGACUCGGUGUACACAGAAGAGGAUUUCAGAUGUCGCUUCCGGAUGAGGCGUCAUGUCUUCGAGCGUUUACUUCGUGAUGUCCAGCAGGUCAAUCCAUACUUUCGACAGAAGCGAGACAGAGCAGGCCGCCCUGGUUUCUCACCUCAUCAGAAGGUUACUGUUGCACUCCGAAUGAUGGCAUAUGGCUCCUCAGCUGAUUCGAUGGAUGAAGCCCAUGGUAUGUCUGAGUCUACAUGCCUUGAUACUCUUGAAUAAUUUUGCAACACAAUUGUUCAGGUUUACAAAGACGAGUACCUUCGAGAGCCAAAUCAAGAAGAUCUGAAUCGGCUCCUUCACAAAGCUGAAGACCAUGGGUUUCCGGGCAUGAUAGGAUCAUUAGACUGCAUGCAUUGGGAUUGGAAGAACUGUCCCACUGGAUGGCAAGGAAGCUUUAGCGGAAGGUCGAGAAAGCCAACUGUUGUGUUAGAGGCAGUUGCCUCAUAUGACACAUGGAUCUGGCAUGCUUUCUUUGGAGUCCCUGGAUCCCAAAAUGACAUUACAGUUCUUGGGCGUUCACCCCUCUUCAAUAACUUGACGGAAGGUAAAGCACCUCAACUUGACUACUACAUCAACGGCCGUGAAUACAAUAUGGGGUAUUACUUGGCAGAUGGCAUCUACCCAAAGUGGGCGACACUUGUCCAAGCAAUUCCAAACCCUAGGAAUGAUGCAGAAAAGUUGUUUACCUUACACCAAGAGGCAUACCGGAAAGAUGUUGAGAGAGCUUUCGGUAUUCUACAAGCACGGUGGAAGAUUAUCAGCGAACCGGCAAGAGGGUGGAGUCGAGAAAAUUUGAACUCCAUCAUGAUGUCUUGCAUCAUAUUACACAAUAUGAUAGUGGAGGAUGAGCGAGAUGAGUAUAUUGAUGGAGAGUCCGAUGAUGACCAAGAAGAUCCAAAUAGGUUAAGAAGGGCUCUAGCAAAAAUAUAUGAUGGGCCUAAUUUGCCUUUCAAUCCAAGAACUGGUAGUAUCUCUAUAAAUGAGUAUAUGAGGUGCUAUAGAAUGAUACGUUCUCGUGCCACAAAUACGUACCUACAACAGGAUCUUGUUGCACAUCUUUGGGCCAAAAGAAGCAUGGAGUAGGCUUUUAAGUUUUAUGUUGUUAAAUGUUUUUAAAAAUGUUGUUUAAGUUUCAUGUUGUUAAAUGUUUUUUUAUGUUGUAUAAUUU